CCUACGGGGGGCAGCAGUGAGGAAUAUUGGUCAAUGGACGAGAGUCUGAACCAGCCAAGUAGCGUGAAGGAUGACUGCCCUAUGGGUUGUAAACUUCUUUUAUAUGGGAAUAAAAUGUUCCACGUGUGGGAUUUUGUAUGUACCAUAUGAAUAAGGAUCGGCUACCUCCGUGCCAGCAGCCGCGGUAAUACGGAGGAUCCGAGCGUUAUCCGGGUUUAUUGGGUUUAAAGGGAGCGUGGGUGGAUUGUUAAGUCAGUUGUGAAAGUUUGCGGCUCAACCGUAAAAUUGCAGUUGAAACUGGCAGUCUUGAGUACAGUAGAGGUGGGCGGAAUUCGUGGUGUAGCGGUGAAAUGCUUAGAUAUCACGAAGAACUCCGAUUGCGAAGGCAGUUCACUGGACUGCAACUGACACUGAGGCUCGAAAGUGUGGGUAUCAAACAGGAUUAGAUACCCGAGUAGUC
rnacentral:rRNA from 1 species